ACAAACAAGCGCAAAAGCAGGCACCGUAUUUAAACAGAUGAGAUGAGAUGCGACAUAUGCUGUGUGAUGCAUACUUAGACCAGGGUAUGGCACAAACAAGCGGGAAAAGCAGGCACCGUAUUUAAACAGAUGAGAUGAGAUGCAACAUUUGCUGUGUGAUGCAUACUUAGACCAGGGUAUGGCACAAACAAGCGCAAAAGCAGGCACCGUAUUUAAACAGAUGAGAUGAGAUGCGACAUACGCUGUGUGAUGCAUACUUAGACCAGGGUAUGGCACAAACAAGCGGGAAAGCAGGCACCGUAUUUAAACAGAUGAGAUGAGAUGCGACAUAUGCUGUGUGAUGCAUACUUAGACCAGGGUAUGGCACAAACAAGCGGGAAAAGCAGGCACCGUAUUUAAACAGAUGAGAUGAGAUGCAACAUUUGCUGUGUGAUGCAUACUUAGACCAGGGUAUGGCACAAACAAGCGCAAAAGCAGGCACCGUAUUUAAACAGAUGAGAUGAGAUGCGACAUACGCUGUGUGAUGCAUACUUAGACCAGGGUAUGGCACAAACAAGCGGGAAAAGCAGGCACCGUAUU